UACAGAGGUGGCAAGCGUUGUUCGGAAUUACUGGGCGUAAAGGGCUCGUAGGCGGCCAACUAAGUCCGACGUGAAAUCCCAAAGCUUAACUUUGGAACUGCGUCGGAUACUGGAUGGCUUGAAUUCGGGAGAGGGAUGCAGAAUUCCAGGUGUAGCGGUGAAAUGCGUAGAUAUCUGGAGGAAUACCGGUGGCGAAGGCGGCAUCCUGGACCGACAUUGACGCUGAGGAGCGAAAGCUAGGGGAGCAAACGGG
rnacentral:rRNA from 1 species